rnacentral:lncRNA from 1 species
CCAAAACUGGCCUAAAUUGAAACCCACUUCAUCCCACCAUUUUUUCCCAAAUCAAAGUCUGAAACCCUUGAACACAUUGAAUUUGGCAACUAUGCGGCACUUCACCAACUGCGGCAACUAAACCAUCGAACGCGUUGGAAGCCAUUUUCUCCAUACCUUUGAUUUGUACUUCGUGAAUCAUUUUAACCUGCUGUCACUAUUUAUUGCUUCGAAGGUGUCACCACCCAUCUUCUCCUACAUAAUAGUCAGCUAACGGGAGUAAGUACAUUGUUCGACUUACAUGGGUAUGGAUUUCUUGGCAAAAGUUCAAAUUUGUAGCCUGUCACACAAUAAGUUUAAUUUGGUGGAUUUCUUUAUAUUUGAAUCCAAAUUUGUCGGAUCUAUUUUAAGUUUCACAGGUGAGACGUGGGAGGUGAUGAUGGUGGUGGUGGGAUUAUUUAAGAUUUUAUCUCUAUUUCUUGCAACUUAAAUUCUUGGUCGAAUCUUGCAAAUAUGAACGAUGAAGAUGGCGAAUCCUACACAUGAACAACUGAAUUGUUAUUUUGAUUUUUAUUUGAUUUUUUUUCUUACAAGUUGCUAGUAUUCUUCAGCUUAUGUGUAUGUUAUAGUGCUAGAGCUAUUUUUUCAUUAACAAGCUGCUUGGAUUGUUGACAUUUGAUCUUUUUUGGUUGAGUCCCAGUUGACAAUGGCAAGAAAAUACCUAAGAGUCUAUCAUAGUUGUAGAGAGGAGGGCCAUUUUUUUUGGAGAAUGUCCGAGGAAACGCCCUUGGCCAUGGUGUAAGCAUGCCUUCGUAAAGUGUUUUGAAUUGGAGAAUGAGAGUGACAACAAAGGCAUUCUAUUCAAUUCUUGUAGUGCAACAUGUGAAUAUUGAGAGUGGGUUCAAGCUAUUGAAAUGAGUGGUGAAUCUAGUUCAGCUAAAGAUUUCUCUAGCAUGUUGAAACUCUAUGUCGGUUAACUGAUGAACAAGAAGUGGAGAUUUCUGUGAAAGUGACAAUAUGUAAAGGAAGAGAAAGUUCGAAAGGGGACAAGAAAGGAAAGGGACAUGCUUGAGUUGUAGCUGUUAGUGUACUAAUGUUACUUCAUUUAUGUUGUUUAUGACUUGGUAGUGUGAUUAGGAUGUAAUGGACAAUGAUGUUGCUAUUGUAGUUAUAUUAUCGAUGUCCAAUCUCAGUAUUUAGUUGUCCAUAUUUAAAAAUUAUUCAAUUGAAGUCUUUAUUUUUGUAUUUAAU